rnacentral:misc_RNA from 1 species
CUCUCUCUCUCUCUCUCUGUGCUCAUCACUGUCCCUCUGAGUGCGUAGCCAUGUCUCUACUUAGCGAUCUAAUCAACCUCAAUCUUUCUGAGACCACCGAGAAGAUCAUAGCUGAAUACAUCUGGAUCGGGGGUUCUGGUUUGGACUUGAGAAGCAAAGCAAGGACUCUGCCAGGACCAGCGACUGAUCCUUCCAAACUUCCCAAAUGGAACUACGAUGGCUCAAGCACAGACCAAGCCCCUGGAGAUGACAGUGAAGUCAUUCUAUACCCUCAAGCAAUCUUUAAGGAUCCCUUCAGAAGAGGAAACAAUAUCCUGGUGAUGUGCGAUGCUUACACCCCAGCCGGCGAGCCUAUUCCUACCAACAAGAGGCACAAUGCAGCCAAGAUCUUUAGCCACCCCGACGUUGUUGCCGAGGAGCCUUGGUAUGGGAUUGAGCAAGAGUACACCCUUCUCCAAAAGGAUGUUAAAUGGCCUAUUGGAUGG